rnacentral:tRNA from 1 species
GGGGCUGUGGCUUAGGGGGAGAACAUCUGCUUGGCAUGCAGAAGGUCCCAGAUUCAAGUCUGUCAACUCCA